UCUGGCAUACCAUAUUUGUUGAGAGAUUCUUCUGUUGUUUUACACCUCAUGGUUCUCCUUACCUUGGCCUCGCAUUGUUACUUCUAUAAAAGAAUUGCCAGGCACCAGAACUCCCCACAAACCAAAAUCAUGGCUCAAAGAAUAGGGCUUGUAGGAUGGAAGCUAAUAGUCUUUGAUACUCACGGAGGUUGUAAAUUUUCCCGGAUGCUAGAACUCAUGAAAUAGACUAGGACACCCCUUCCCUUCACAGCUUCUUUCACAUGGCACUCUGGCCAUGAUGCAAGAAGAAGUCUCGUGAUGUCUUCAUGGAUGUCCGCCGAAAAGAAGAUUUCCGAUGGCGCUUCUUCCACUACCAUCUCCGGUCGAGCCUCUUGAAAGCAUCAAGUCAGAGAAGAUCCAAUCCCAGGUGUCCCUCAGAGCUUGUUAUACUUUGACGUCGAUUUAAGAGCUCAUUGUGUCCAUUGUCCCCCAAGCUAGCGAUACUGACGUCUCCAAUCUCUUUCGACCAAGCCAAUGUCCAAGUGCGCCAUCAGUAUUGAAGCAUUGGUCAAUGAAGAUCAUCAAAACAUAAUAAGCACUGAUCAAAUCCAUCAAAUAUAUAUCUUUUUAUUUUUUGUUCUGAAGGCGAUAUCCCAAAAUAUUGUCUAUCUCAUAAACGAUGAAUACAACCCUCAGCUUUUUGUAAUCCUUAUGAAAAAGCUCGCACGACAAAGCUUAUUAAUGUAACUUUUAUGGACAAUA